GGCAAUGGCCCCAUCUUUGACGCUGUUUUAACAUUUUACAUUUGUAUCUUUUUCAUCAUGUACUUUUUGACUUGAUUCUGGUAUUAAUUAUGGUACUGUUGUUUUAACCUUUGGACUGUUUAGGUUCUAAACAGUAUUAUUGUAUAUACAUUUUUUUGUAUGAUGAGGUAGUAUUUUUUUUAUAACUACAUUUCUCUUUGUGUAUGUAUUGUGCAUACAUGUAUUUUGUUUCAGGAGUGUAGCAUUGAUAGUUGGCUACAUUCCUCUGUUUAAAUAUUCUUUGUUAUUUAUUUCCUCAAUAAAUGACCAUUCUAAUUUCU
rnacentral:sRNA from 1 species